rnacentral:rRNA from 1 species
AUGGCUCGUAAGGUUUUCAACGUUGUGGCAUCCAUCCUCAUAUUGGCGUUCCUCAUGUCUUGUGAUGUGGUUCAAAGCACUUGCCAUGAGUAUACCAGCAAGGUCACUUGUCAUGACUCUUCGACAUGUCAGACGUGGUGCAAGUACAAUGGUGCCGAUGAUGGUCACUGCAAUAAAGGUUCAUGUGUGUGCCUGGAUUGCGGGUGGCGUGUGAUGGGUUCAACUUGA